rnacentral:lncRNA from 1 species
UUUAUAGCUAAAGCUUUUAUUGAUCCUUGGACAGGAAUGUAGGCAUGACAUUUUCACUGACCCUAGAACAAGAAUGUGCACUAUGUAUAAGAAGCAUGUGCAAUAGUUGUCAAGAUGUCACAUCUAGAAAACACUGUUUACGUUAUCAGCAAGGUGUAUCUUGAAGGAUGUUGAAGAAAAAAAGGAACUGCCCUUUGGAAAAUCAGCCAGCCACUGUACAAAAGUCACAUAACUUUUGAUUGCAGAAAAUCUGGGAAUUUCUGGGAUCAUUGCCAAAGGACCUCUGAGAACCAUUUGGGGAAGUCUUUGAGGCACUUGAUGGUCCCUGGUGCCCCAGGAACAGGAGAAAGGAUCAACUGUCCCAGUUCUGGAGUGGUG